rnacentral:rRNA from 1 species
CGUGUAGGCGGGUCUUUAAGUCAGGGGUGAAAUGCCAAGGCUCAACCUUGGAACUGCCUUUGAUACUGGGGAUCUUGAGUCCGGGAGAGGUGGGUGGAACUGCGAGUGUAGAGGUGAAAUUCGUAGAUAUUCGCAAGAACACCAGUGGCGAAGGCGGCUCACUGGCCCGGAACUGACGCUGAGACGCGAAAGCGUGGGGAGCAAACAGGAUUAGAUACCCUGGUAGUCCACGCUGUAAACGAUGGAUGCUAGCCGUUGGGGAGCUUGCUCUUCAGUGGCGCAGCCAACGCUUUAAGCAUCCCGCCUGGGGAGUACGGUCGCAAGAUUAAA